rnacentral:rRNA from 1 species
AAUUUUGUGGUCAAGCUACAAAGGGCUGAUGGUGGAUACCUAGGCACACAGAGGCGAAGAAGGACGUGGUUACCGACGAUAUGCCCCGGGGAGUUGGAAGCAGGCAUUGAUCCGGGGGUUUCCGAAUGGGGCAACCCUAAAUACGGCAAGUUGAAUCCAUAGACUUGCGCGAGCGAACGCGGCGAAUUGAAACAUCUUAGUAGCCGUAGGAAGAGAAAACAAACGUGAUUCCCCUAGUAGCGGCGAGCGAAGCGGGAAAAGCCUAAACCAGAGUGCAUGCAUUCUGGGGUUGUGGGACAGCGAGAUGGAAUCUAGCGGCUAGACGAAGCACUUGAGUGGUGCACCAGAGGAGGUGAGAGUCCUGUAGUCGAAAGCUUAAAGAUACUAGCUGAAUCCCGAGUAGCAUGGGGCACGUGAAAUCCCGUGUGAAUCCGCGAGGACCACCUCGUAAGGCUAAAUACUCCUGUGUGACCGAUAGUGAACCAGUACCGCGAGGGAAAGGUGAAAAGAACCCCGGAAGGGGAGUGAAAUAGAACAUGAAACCAUCAGCUUACAAGCAAUCGAAGCCCGAUUAAACGGGUGACGGUGUGCCUGUUGAAGAAUGAGCCGGCGACUUAUAGGGUGUGGCAGGUUAAGACGAGAAUGUCGGAGCCAAAGCGAAAGCGAGUCUGAUAAGGGCGAUUUUGUCACACUUUAUAGACCCGAACCCGGGUGAUCUAACCAUGUCCAGGAUGAAGCUUGGGUAACACCAAGUGGAGGUCCGAACCGACUGAUGUUGAAAAAUCAGCGGAUGAGGUGUGGUUAGGGGUGAAAUGCCAAUCGAACCCGGAGCUAGCUGGUUCUCCCCGAAAUGUGUUUAGGCGCAGCGGCAGUGAUUAUAGUCUGGGGGUAAAGCACUGUUUCGGUGCGGGCUGCGAGAGCGGUACCAAAUCGAGACAAACUCUGAAUACCAGAUGCACACACUGCCAGUGAGACGGUGGGGGAUAAGCUUCAUCGUCAAGAGGGAAACAGCCCAGACCACCAGCUAAGGUCCCCAAAUCACAACUCAGUGAUAAAGGAGGUGGGAGUGCAGAGACAACCAGGAGGUUUGCCUAGAAGCAGCCAUCCUUGAAAGAGUGCGUAAUAGCUCACUGGUCAAGCGCUCCUGCGCCGAAAAUGAACGGGGCUAAGUUGUGUACCGAAGCUGUGGGAUAUACAUGUAUAUCGGUAGGGGAGCGUUCUGUUGUAGAGAGAAGCACUAGCGUAAGCAGGUGUGGACGAAGCAGAAGUGAGAAUGUCGGCUUGAGUAGCGCAAACAUUGGUGAGAAUCCAAUGCCCUGAAAUCCCAAGGUUUCCUCCGCAAGGCUCGUCCGCGGAGGGUUAGUCAGGACCUAAGGCGAGGCUGAAAAGCGUAGUCGAUGGACAACGGGUUAAUAUUCCCGUACUGACUUUGGUUUGUGCAGAGGGACGGAGAAGGCUAAAUCAGCCGCAUGUUGGUUAGCGGUUCAAGCAUCCGAGGUUUUGAGAGACGGUGAAAACGUCUUGAGCUGAGGUGUGAGUACGAGGAGAUACGUCUCCGAAGUGAUUGAUGUCAGGCUUCCAAGAAAAGCUCUAAACACGUUAAGCCAAAGUUACCUGUACCCUAAACCGACACAGGUGGGAAGGUUGAGAAUACCAAAGGGCGCGAGAUAACUCUCUCUAAGGAACUCGGCAAAAUGACCCCGUAACUUCGGGAGAAGGGGUGCCACCGCAAGGUGGUCGCAGUGAAGAGGCCCAGGCGACUGUUUACCAAAAACACAGGUCUCCGCUAAGUUGCAAAACGAUGUAUGGGGGCUGACGCCUGCCCAGUGCCGGAAGGUUAAGGAAGUCGGUCAGGGCCGCAAGGCUUGAAGCUGGCGACCGAAGCCCCGGUGAACGGCGGCCGUAACUAUAACGGUCCUAAGGUAGCGAAAUUCCUUGUCGGGUAAGUUCCGACCCGCACGAAAGGCGUAACGAUCUGGGCGCUGUCUCGGAGAGAGGCUCGGCGAAAUAGGAAUGUCUGUGAAGAUACGGACUACCUGCACCCGGACAGAAAGACCCUAUGAAGCUUUACUGUAGCCUGGUAUUGGGUUCGGGCUUUGCUUGCGCAGGAUAGGUGGGAGGCUGUGAAAGAUUCCUUGUGGGGAAUCUGGAGCCAACGGUGAGAUACCACUCUAGCAAGGCUAGAAUUCUAACCCUGACCCGUCAUCCGGGGAGGGAACAGUAUCAGGUGGGCAGUUUGACUGGGGCGGUCGCCUCCUAAAUGGUAACGGAGGCGCACAAAGGUUCCCUCAGGCUGGUUGGAAAUCAGCCGGAGAGUGUAAAGGCAUAAGGGAGCUUGACUGCAAGAGCUACAACUCGAGCAGGGUGGAAACACGGUCUUAGUGAUCCGACGGCACUGCGUGGAAGGGCCGUCGCUCAACGGAUAAAAGUUACUCUAGGGAUAACAGGCUGAUCUCCGCCAAGAGUUCACAUCGACGCGGAGGUUUGGCACCUCGAUGUCGGCUCAUCGCAACCUGGGGCGGUAGUACGUCCCAAGGGUUGGGCUGUUCGCCCAUUAAAGCGGUACGUGAGCUGGGUUCAGAACGUCGUGAGACAGUUCGGUCCAUAUCCGGUGCAGGCGCAAGAGCAUUGAGAGGAGUCCCCUCUAGUACGAGAGGACCGAGGGGAACGCACCGCUGGUGUACCUGUUAUCGUGCCAACGGUAAACGCAGGGUAGCCAUGUGCGGAGUGGAUAACCGCUGAAAGCAUCUAAGUGGGAAGCCCACCUCAAGAUGAGUGCUCUCAUGGAGUUAAUCCAGUAAGGUCACGGGUAGAACACCCGUUGAUAGGCUCUAAGUGGAAGCCCAGUAAUGGGUGAAGCUGAGGAGUACUAACAGACCGAGGGCUUGACCUCU